UACAUUUAACCCCCCUAUCUUUAGAAUUUGGAUCUAA
rnacentral:sRNA from 1 species